UCUGUUCAUAUGGAUUUUAUACUUGUCACCUAGAAAAACCUGACCACUCAAUUUGGCAUCACAGAGUUUCCAGUUUAUUUCUUUUUCUUCAAACAUAAGUGAUUUAUGUCCUAUUGAGGAGCCUUUGGUAUCAGUUUUCAUUCUUUCAAAUGUACAGUCUUUUAAGAAGUAGUGUUUUCCUCUGCCUUCGCUAAAGGCAUUUCACAGAAAUAUCUCAUUAUUUAUUUAUAAAGGUAAGUUUCUGGAAUAAGGUAACAUUACCACUGUUCUACUAUUGCCUCUACACACAUGGAGACAUUCAUAAUUGAUAAAAUGGUCCAUACUAGUGUUACAGCUAGAAUAAAUCUAAGGUUGGAUCUCUGGGAGAGCAAAUCCUGUCCUCAUUUUUGUUAAGAAAUAAAUAAAAGGCAUGAGUUAAAAAUUAUCCAAAAGGAGGAGGAGGGCAUGUAGGCUGGGCAGAGGGAAGACAACAAGGUUUGAAAAAAGAAGAGAGGAUAUAGAUGGAAGAAAACCAGUCAGAAGAAUAUCUUGAAGAAUGAGUGGUUUUUUUGGUUUGGUUUUGGUUGUUUUGGUACCAGGGACUGAACUCAGGACCUUGCACUUGCGAGGCACGCAGCAUAACCACUGAGCUAAAUCCCUGGCCCAACUUUCUGCAUCUCUCUCUUGUUGGAGCAGGCUAAUGAUUGACUGCUGUCUUAGCCUUUUGUUGCUGGCAAGGUCCUGGAAGAAACUGAAAGUCUUUGAGCAACAAUGGAUUAAACUGCUUUAGGAAAUUCUGAGCUGAUGAACAUCAAAUUGGCAGGUUGAGUUUGAUGGAUCCUCUGCUGUUGAGAGAGUUGUUGGAGGCUGUAGAACAAUGAAGGAAUGAGCAAAGUGUAUGCUGCACUGGCUGUGAAAUAUCUCUGGUUUGCAGUGAUGCACAUAAAUUGAACUCAUCCCCAGUGACCAGAGCAUGUCACAUUACCAAGCCCACCUUCAGGAUGUUUGAAUACAGUGAAGAAAAGCUGUUUCUUUAGUGAGAAACAAAGAUUCAAGAUUGAGCUGAUCCUAGUUUUGAAUUUAUAUGUGAAAAUCAUGGAACCCUGUUUUAGGCCUUAAAAUAUGGAUGGAUAGCCAUGGAUCCUGAAAUAUCAAAGGAAAGCUCCCAGCUGGAAAGAGCCACCAGGUUAACAUCAAAUUCCUGAAGCAAAAUGGAGAGAGGAGCAAAUGAUUUGAGAUGGCAGAGAAUUUGGAGAAAAACUGAUGGAGACACUCAUGAUAUGGAUUGAAGAUAAAGAAUGCGAAAAAGGAAGACCAGACAUCACACACUGAUUUGGGGGAAAUUGGAGGUCCAGAGGUAGAACCCUCUUCAAUAAGCAGGCUUAUGUGCUUUGACUUAAUAUUCAGAUAUUCUCAUCAAUGAUUUCCAGAAAGGGACAUUGAUGUGCUUUGGAAACAAUGAUGGAAAAACAGUAAAUGUGUACUGGAAUGCUUUUAGAGUUCUAAAAUCAUAUUGGAAAAUGUCCGAGCAUUCCAACACAACUGUAAACAAUCCCAUGCUGUAUUUAUGGGGGAUAACAAGUCUGUUUUUAAGUCUUUUGCAAUAUUAUUUCUAUGUUUUUAAUGUAUUGAAUUAAAGCCAGAUUUAUUCAAUUAAGAUAAUGCACUUCAAGGUUAACUGCCAUUUGCUGUUCAUUUAGGCAAGCUAUUGUACAGUUAUGUAAAUUUCAUGAACAGAGACACUACUCCAGUGUCUUAAUUAUAAGCAAAAAGUGUCAUUUAAAUAUGAAUUCAGUGAAUAGUUGCCUGUAUUUCCUGUUUCUGUAUUUUCUUCUUAAAAAUCCAAGG
rnacentral:lncRNA from 1 species